GUGUGUGUGUGCGCGCGCGCGCGCGCGCGUGCGCGAGUGCACAUGCACGUGUUGUGUUGUGUUUCCUCCAUAAGAAAUUCUUUUCCUGGAUUUGUGAUCCCUGUGGAACAUUAAGAACCUCUCCGAUUGAAUCUCAGGGAGGAACCGGAGGUAUGAAUGACAACUGUUUGAGAAGAAGGUCCCAAAUCCCUCUCUUAAAACCUUGGGAUUGUGCUUGAGACUCAGCCCCGAUGUGUUCCGUGGUGAGUCACUCACCUGGUUUACCCACACUGUAUGCUCCCCCUACCUGCCCCUACCUUGUCAUAAGUGCUGAGGAUUGAACCCAUGGCCUCGUUGCAUGUCAGGUGCUGGGAACAUUAAAUCUUCAUGUCUGGAGGACAAGAAAACUAAAAGUUUGAAGGCAGCAAUGUGCCCAGUGUUCAUUUUCCCAAUGUUGACGGUUGUGCUGUGGUUUUACUGAAGAAUGCCCCUUGAAGGGAUGCUGUGUAACCAACCAGCCACCUCGUGCUUCUGCCACUGUUGCUUCCCCACUGUGAUAGACUGUGCACACUCAAACUGCAAGCCAAAAUAAACCCCACCCUCCUUAGUUGCUUUUCCCAGGAAUUUUGUCACAGCAGUGCUAACAUAAGCCAAGCUUGGGGUUAGGGUCAUUAACCCUAAGAGGGAAAAAAAUGUCUGUUCAAAGAAAGAGUUAUAAACAAAUAAUAGACAUUAAUAGAGUGGCUUUAAGGUAAUUUGUGUCUGUAAAGAAUAAUUCUUUCCUAAAUCUCUGCCUUAGCUUCCCUGUAUACUACCUGUAUAUGCAUGAGUACUCAGAGUUCGUUUUGAUUGGGCAAUCCUUUACAGAAAGAGAUUAUGAAUUCAGUUUGA